CCUACGGGAGGCAGCAGUGAGGAAUAUUGGUCAAUGGUCGGGAGACUGAACCAGCCAAGCCGCGUGAGGGAGGAAGGUACAGAGUGUCGUAAACCUCUUUUGUCAGGGAAUAAAGACUGGGACGCGUCCCCGGAUGAGUGUACCUGAAGAAAAAGCAUCGGCUAACUCCGUGCCAGCAGCCGCGGUAAUACGGAGGAUGCGAGCGUUAUCCGGAUUUAUUGGGUUUAAAGGGUGCGCAGACGGGGUGUUAAGUCAGUUGUCAAAGUUUGCGGCUCAACCGUAGACUUGCGAUGGAACGUGGCAGCAUUGAGGACAGUUGAGGUAGGCGGAAGUCGUGGUGUAGCG
rnacentral:rRNA from 1 species